GCCCUUAUAGCACAGUGGUAGUGCGUUGCACUUGUAAGCUACGCAUUCAGUCCAGUGAUCUGGCUGGGUGUGAAUGUUGCUGCGUGGUCCAGCUACGUUGGCCGCGUGUCAUGCAAAGGUCCCAGGUUCAAUCCCUGGUGAGGGCA
rnacentral:tRNA from 1 species